rnacentral:lncRNA from 1 species
CAGAAGUUAUUAAAGCAGUUAUCUUUUAUGAGAUCUUCGAUUAUUGGAAGUAAAAUCGAGAAUGUACACGUCAAAGAAUCCAGUUAAUUAGCUUUGAUCCUGUAAAUCAAAAAGAUCACAAUUUUUAAAAACAAUAUAAAGCAAGUUGCCGAUAUCAUCGUUAGAAAUUUGAAACUAUUGACAAAAGUUAAUCCUCUUUUAAUUUCAGAAUCAACUAAUUGCUAAAUCUUAGUAACUACAUUAAUUUUUGUCCUUAAAAUUCGUCUUCUUAUUCAAUCAAAUGCAUAUUAGUUUUUAAUACAUUCAAUAUCAAUAUAUUCACAUACACCAUAAUGUCAAUUAUGCACGUAGUAUCUACCAUAAUCUACACAUAGUAUUAGUAGUAUUAGUCACGCAAAACUCGGUUAUAGUAGUUAAUUAAACCAAUGAAUAUUCGCCACAAAAUCAUCACAUAAUAUUCCUUAAUCUCAACGAGUCAUAACACAAUCUAACCUAACAUAAUAUGCCACAAAAUCAUCACAUAAUAUUCCUUAAUAUCAACGAGUCAUAACACAAUCUAACCUAACAUUCUACUACGCCUAUAUAAAUUAAAGCAUCCAUUCUACACUAAACAUUAUACACCAGCACUAAAACAGAAAAAACGAUGGCUUCAAACAAUUGUUUUACAUCAUUGGCAGACAUCAAACCAUUCAAGACGUCAUGGAAAAUAAAAGUGAAGAUCAUCCAUACCUGGAAACAGUUUACAACCUACACAGGAGAGACCAUCGAGAUGAUUCUAGCAGAUGUUGAUGUAAGUUAUUCAUUUGUCCUCCCAAAGUAUACCUACAAUCAUUCAUAUAUAUAUAUAUGAUUGUAAUCAAUGUUUUUCUUUUUGUAGGGUACAUUAAUCCAUGCUACAAUCAAAAAACAACAGUUGAAUAAAUUUCAACGCUUCAUUGUUUAUGGAGAAUGGAGAAUCAUUGAAAACUUUCAACUCACACGAUCUGCUGGAAAGUACAGAGCAACCAAGCAUACUUACAAGAUGUCGAUUAUGAAUUCAACACUCAUAUCGAAAUGUCCUUCAUUGUCAAAUGAUUUCUUCUUGGAUUUAGCUACCUUUGAUGAUAUUCUCGCUGAAGAUGUGUUGAAUGAACACAUCCUGAUUGGUAAUUUAAAUUUCUUUAGACUUUUACUACUAUUUAACAGUAGCUACUUUAUAUUUCUAAAGUUUAAAUAUUUCAUUAUAUGCAGAUGUCCUUGGUCAGGUUGUUGCUGUUGGUGAGAUGAAAACAUCAUCUCAAAAUGACAAACCAAAAAAAAGAUUGGAGAUUGAACUUAGAGAUACCAGGUAAUCGGAUGUAAGAUUCAUGUUUACUAUGUUAAUUCUUAAUUUACAAGUUUUUAACAUGUUCAUCUAUUUUUGAUUAUAGCGAUCAGCGGCUACAAUGUACUUUAUGGGGCAAGUUUGCAGAUUCAAUGUGGGAAGCUACCAGAAAUGGAGCUGGUGGAUCAGUAAUUUGUUUGCUACGUUGUGCUAAAAUCAACACUUACAAUGGUCAGAUUUCUAAUUCUACAACUUAACGUGUUAUGUUAUAAAUGAUAAACAAUUCUAUCCGGGAUUAGAGUUUCUAUUACUAUUGUUUUCAGGUGAGAGAUCAGUUACAAAUGCAUUUGACAUGUCUCUCAUGCAAAUCAACUCAGACCACACCGCUGUCGGUGAUUUUAUUGCUGAGUAUGUUUAUAAUUUUCGUCAAAUACAUUUAAUUGCAAUAUCUACAUAUCUAACCAAAAUACUAUUAUAAACGGCUUAUAUAUUUAUUUUCUUUCAAACUACAGUUUACCCAAAGAUGAUUUGCAAAUUGUCUUCCUGGCUAAAGAAUCAACAGAUCGGAUCUUGAAAAAGGACAAGGAUGAUUACAUCAACCAAUAUCCAAUGAGCACCAUUUCCGAUCUGUUGGAAGCUACUUCGGUAACUCUAUUUCUACUUAAAUCUAACCAUGUCCUAGAGUUUCUAAUGACUAAUAGUAUGAAUGAACAUGAUAAAUAGGAAGGAAAGAUGAAGAUAAUGGCAACCAUAUAUAACAUAGAUAUGGAAUUUGGUUGGUAUUAUUUUACCUGUCUCAAAUGUAAACAAACUUGCUACUUGAUCCCAAAAGUUGAGAAUGUAACUUACAGUAAACCAAGAAAGCCUUUGUUUUACUGUAAAACAUGCGUGCAAGAUGUAACCAAGGCUGUUUCCAGGUCAGUUUGUACAGUUAUGAUUUGUCUUAAACAUAUUAUGCGAAUUGUUUUUAGUGUUUUAUCAUGUGAACUAUUUCUUUUAUGUAUUUUCAUCAGGUUCAAACUGACUCUUGAUGUUAUGGACAACACCGGGGAGUCAAAGUUCAUCUUAUUUGAUACAAAUGCUUAUAAGAUUGUGAAUCAUACUACAACUGAACUUUUGGAAGGCAAUUAUGAUGAGGUAAUCUUACAUACUAUACAAUGUCCUCAUCUGCUAUAAAAUCCAAACACCUAACUAAGACAUAUAUGCCUAAAUUGCAGAUAUCAGACCCAAAAGAUGUCCCACUCGCUCUUAAGAACUUAGUUGGAAAGACAUUUAAGUUUCUUGCAUCAAUUCACACUGCAAACAUCACAGAAGGCAAAGAAAGUUACAAGUGUUCUUAUGUGGAGAUGGGUGAUUCUACAACUAAUGUGGAUAACAUAGAAGAUUCUGAAAUUCAAGCUGAUCCUAAGGAUGUGAUUUCUAUGGUAACAGAAAUAGUUUCACUACAUAUUGAAUGUUUAAUUCUUACAGUAUUUACCAAUUUAUAUAAUAAAACGAAUGUAUUUUGUAGGACAACCAGUGUAGUUCAAGAAGCAAUGAAACAAGGGAUGGUAAUGGAACUGCUACUACUACACCAUCAUCCAAACGUAAAGAAGACCCUACUGAUCAAGCAGAACAAUCAUCAACUUCUAAGAAACUUUGUCUACCAUCAAUAAAAAGUGCUAUUGAAAGUGAAAAUGUCGAUGUGGCCAAUGCAAAUGUGGAUGAGGCCUCUGAAUCAGAAGGAGAAGAAGAGGAGAAGAAGAGGAGAAGGAAGACUAAGUUCAUUAAACUUAUUCAUUUUCAGAAACUUUUUUAAAAUUUAUUUUCCCAUUUGGUUUAAUUUAGUUUUCAAUAAAGUAGUAUGGUUUUUUCAUGUUUGGUAUUAACUUAUUGCAUAAGCAGUAACUUAAUACUCAAAACAUUUUUCCAUAUUAUUAUUUGCUUAUGUAUUUGUAACUUUGGUUUAAUUCAAUUCUUUUUGAGCAACUCUUUUUGAGCAAUAUGAGAUGACUUUCUAAUUUUAUUCAAAACCAUAUACACCGUACAUUCAAAUUAAUAUUAACAGACGUUGGUAACAACUUAAGAUAGUACAGAUUGAAAUCACUCAUAAUAAUUAUUUAAGUAUAUUUAAAUUAUAAAACUAAAAAAAAAGGUAGGGAGAAAAUACCUUAUCAUUGUUAUCCCGUGGAAAACAUAUUGUUGUGUUUAGUCUCUUCUUUCUAACCAAAUCGAUUCCUCCAGCAGCCGCUAAUAACAAAUAACAAAUUAAAGUUAUUAGUGAAUAUUAGACUCACUAUUUUUAUGCAAAUUAAUAUAAUAGAUUACACUAAACACAACAAAUGAAAGAACAAUCAUUUAGUUAAUAUACUGGAGAUAUUAAAAAUAUACCAAGAAUCAAUUAGUUCCCAUUUCUAAGCAAAAUAUCUUAAAAUUUGUUACCAAAACUGAUGUCGUAAAGGAUUUUCCCCCACAUUAGUACUAAGAUAUUUCAAUAUUACUGAAAUCAUACCAAUCAACAUAACCAUUCAGAGAAGAAUUAUGAAGAAAAGGAGAAACGAUGUACUUGAUAGGUCAGAUAGGUUUGAUGAACUCAAAAACUCAAAGAGGGUAAGGUCACCAAUCAACAAGGAGAAUAUCAAUCCCAACAUUCAAAAACCUAUUCGGAGUACUGUCAAAGUCACAAGUAUUUUCAAAAAAGUUUUCUCUGCUUUGAAUCAAAAAACUGUCAUUAGACCCAACAUUCCCAAUCACCAAAGUCAACCAUCUCUUUCAUAUGAUCAGGCUGGUAUAUCUGGUAAGCAAACAAACUUUACAGGCUUAUUACAGUACAAACAUAAUAAUUUAAGUAUCUUAUCUAUUGAAAUCAGUAAAGUUAAUGGCUAAUAUAUUCUCAUAUGUAUCAAGUAGGUUCUACAAUACAUUCAGUCAGGACAACAAGGACAGUUCUAGGAGAUUUAACUAACAUUAAUCUUCGUUCCAACCUUGGUACGGUACAACAAUCAAACAAAAGAAAACAAACACACAGCAGCAAAAGCAAAGAAAAUGAACAACCAGGAACGUUCCUACCAGGUUAAGCCUCUAUUAUCUUAGUUUAGUGUUAAAAGAAGUCAUAUACAUAAUGUGGUUAAAGUUUGACAAUCAUGCAACAGAAUCUACAGCAAAUUCAUGUUGCACAGUAUUGGAUAAGUCAGUAGCUUACCAAGAAACUCCCCCAACCAAAAAAAGAGCAGCAAACAUUCUGACAACACAUAAAAGUCCACCAUCAGUCAAUAGCAAGCAAGGUAUAAAGAAUGCAUUCCAAACAUAUUUUUAUCAAUUAUAAUUGUAUAAAGUCUAUUUUUUAUGUGGAAUAUCAGUCAAUUGUCAUUUCCUGUUUACCAAACAAUAGGCUUGAGACAAGGACUCAUAAUCACUAGGCGUCCAACAUCUUUACGGUUUGCUAAAUCAAUUGCACGACAAUGGAGACCACCUGGUGUAACUAAUAACAUUCCUUCGAGAAACACAGAUUUCACCACUCAAAAAGAGACAGUGCUAAAGACUGUAAUAAAAGAGAUUCCAGCAGUAACCACAGGUAAUAUGCAUCUUUUUCGUUGUCAAUCAUCGUUUUAAAAUCACUAUUAAACAAUUUGUGAUCAAUGCGGUUAAUCUGAGUUUAAUAUUACUAAAAUCUGUCUAACAGAAGAACAGACAUACCAAUGCACCAGCAGUAGUGAAGGACCAGACUCCGAACCUUCAGAUGAUGACUCUGAAAUAGAGAUUGUGACUCCAGAAGUUAGAAAAGGGUUUCAGAUUCUUAAUAUGUUAGAUGAAAGUUUAACAAAGGCUUUUGGUACAAAUCAAAGAAAAACAGUGAGACCAAAAACUAGAAAGAAAGAAACAGGUAAAAUACUAAACAUAUCAUUACACCAAUCCAUUUACUAUUAUCACACUAAAGUAGGUUUAUGUGAGUUUUAACAUUUGCUUUGAAAACAGAUUAUCUUGACCAUGGGGAUCCUACAUAUUCAUGUAGUUAUUGUGGAGCUAUUAUGUGGUAUGGUGAACGUAUUAACAGACAUAAAAGGGAUCGUAACCCAACAUUCUCCCAAUGCUGUUUACAAGGAUCAGUACAGUUGCCUUUUUUGCAUAAUCAGCCUGAGUUGUUGUUUGCUUUGCUAACAAACGAUGAUGAAUUGAGUCGCCAUUUCAGAGAAAAUAUCAGAGCAUACAAUAUGAUAUUUUCUUUCACAUCACUCGGUGGAAGUUGUGAGAACACGGUUCUUAAAGGCCGUGGUCCUAAUAUGUUUCAAAUACAAGGCGAGAAUUAUCAUCUACUUGGUAGUCUAAAGCCUGAAGUUGGUGAAUUCCCAAAGUUUUCACAGUUGUAUAUCGUCGAUACAGAGAAUGAAGUCCAAAACAGAGCUGGUAUUCUAAGGUAUAUUUUUUACUACACUACCAAAUGAAACAUCACGUACAUUAAAAUGAUUGAUUAAGAUGGCUCUAAUUGGAGUUCACAAUUUUUUUUUCCAGCAAAGCCAAAAACGCAGGGAAGUAUAAGAAAAAACAGAAUCUCAUACCAGAAAUUAUUCAAGCAAUAAUAAAGUUACUCGAUGAUGUCAACCCCUAUGUUGAAAAUUUCAGAUCAGCAAAGGAAAGGAUGGAUACUAAUCCUGAAGAAAGUUUUCACAUGAGGAUAGUAAGUGAUCGGAAAAAAGAUGGAAGAACAUACGCUGUUCCCACAGCUAAUGAGGUCGCCGCAUUGAUCCCAGGAGAUUUUCAUUUAGGUAUGCCAACUCGUGAUAUAGUUGUUGAAGAAAAAGGUGGGGAUUUACAAAGAAUCAAAGAGACACAUCCAUCAUAUCUAGCUCUACAAUAUCCUUUAUUAUUCCCUAAAGGAGAAGAUGGUUACAGACCUGGAAUAAAGAAACGUCCUAAAGCUGUGAAAAAGAAAAGCCAAGCUGAUAAAGAGAAGGAGAAUGACUGCAUAAGUCUGCGUCAGUGGUUUGCAUUCCGUAUACAGGAAAGGAAGAAUGAGUCAAGAAAUCUGCUUAUGUCUAAAAGAUUGUUCCAGCAGUUCUUAGUAGAUGCUUACACGACAAUUGAGACAAACAGGCUGAGUUUUAUAAAGCAGAAUCAGUCAAGUUUGAGGGCGGCUAAUUAUGACAAGGUCAAGGAUGCUGCUAUAGAGGGGAUCACAGAUAUGAAUGACCAAGGAAGCAAAUAUUACUUACCCGCUACUUUUGUUGGUGGACCUAGAUAUAUGAGAAAUAUGUAUCUUGAUGCAAUGGCGGUUUGUAAAUUUCAUGGCUUUCCAGAUCUCUUCAUCACUUUCACAUGCAACUCAAAAUGGCCAGAGGUGGUUAGAUUUUGUAAAGAAAGAAACUUGAAUCCAGAUGAUAGGCCAGAUAUAAUAAGCAGAGUGUUCAAGAUGAAGUUAAAUUCUCUAAUGGAUGAUUUUACCAAGAAACACAUCUUAGGGAAAACUGUGUCAUGUGAGUACUUAUCUAUACUUGAAACUCCAUUACUUAUUUAGUGAAGUUAUCUUAUGUGCCGUUAAUAAUUAUGCCUUGCUAUGUUUUAAAUUGUGAACAGCGAUGUAUACAAUCGAGUUUCAAAAACGAGGACUACCACAUGCGCACAUCUUGCUAUGGAUGCAUCCUGAUUACAAGUUCCCAAAAGCAGAAGACAUUGACAAAAUUAUUUCUGCAGAGAUACCAGACAAGACUAGGGAACCAGAACUACAUCAAAUUGUCAAAGAUUGCAUGAUUCAUGGACCAUGUGGUGCUAUUAAUAUGAAUUCUCCAUGUAUGGAAGACGGGAAAUGUUCAAAGUUCUACCCAAAGAAGCAUGUUGAUCACACUACAGUUGAUAAGGAAGGGUUUCCAGUAUACAGGAGAAGGAAAACAAAGCACUAUAUUGAGAAGAAUGGUUUUAAGUGUGAUAAUCGCUAUGUUAUACCAUAUAACAAGGUGUUGUCACUAAGAUACAAGGCUCACAUCAAUGUUGAGUGGUGCAAUCAAACAGGUUCAAUCAAAUACUUAUUCAAGUAUAUUCACAAAGGUUUGGAUCGUGUAUAUGUUGUUGUUGAGCCAUCGUGUAAAGAUAAAGAAGAAGAUAAGAGUUCUAGCCGCAGGAAAAAGCAAAAAAAAGAGAGUAAUCAGAAUGUUUCUGGGAGUAGUAGUUCAAAUGAGAUAAAAGACUUCUUUGAUUGCAGGUUUGUUAUAAAAAAAUUUGUUUCACUGUUUGAUAUCUUCGUAUAUAAAUUAUCAUGUCAGAAUGUUCUGAUAUUGUCUUAAUGUAAUUAUGGUGACUUUAAAUGCAGAUAUGUGUCGGCAUGCGAAGCAGCAUGGAGAAUUUUGAAGAAUCCUAUCUGUUACAGAUCUACAGCAGUUCAAAGGUUGUCCUUCCAUUUGCCGGGAAAACAAAUGGUCUUUUUCAAGGGAGAUGAUGAAGUACAAACAGUUCUUAAUAGGGGGGAGUCAGUUCUAUCUAUGUUUCUGGCAUGGUUUGAACUUAAUAAGGUAUCAGAACUAGCCAGGGAACUCACGUAUGCAGAGAUACCCGAGUAUUUUACGUGGGAUAAAAAAAGGAAACAGUUUAAUGAGAGGAAGAGACCAGGUUCUACGAUUGGAAGAAUUAACUAUGUUCCAAUUAGUAUAGAAGAUGGAUACUACCUCAGAAUGCUGCUGAACACACAAAAAGGUCCCAAGAGUUUUGAUGAUAUCAAAAAAGUCAAAGGAGUAGUUUAUAAAACAUUCAAAGAGACAUGUUUUCAUCUGGGAUUACUAGACAAUGAUCAGGAAUAUAUAGAUGACAUAGUAAGAACAAGUUUCUGGAGUAGUGGAAGCUUUUUACGUCGUCUAUUCGUUGUGAUGCUACUGUCUUAUAGUUUGUCUCAACCAGAAAUUGUUUGGGAAAAGACUUGGGAACUACUUUCAGAUGACAUUGAAAAAGAAAGGAGAGACUAUUUCAACCGACCAGGUAAUACUAAAUAUCAAUACUAUUUUCGUAUACACAUUCUGAUUACGGAAUUUUAUAUUAAUUCUUUUGUAAUAAUUUCUGUAGAACUAACUCUAGAUGAUGAGGAGAAGAAGAAUUUCGCAUUACUGAACAUUGAUAGUAUCUUGAAAAGCAAUGGAACAUCUCUAUCAGCCUUUCGGACCAUGCCACAAAUACCAAAAGAAAGUCUGGAUGGGACUAAUGUUUUGAUACUUGACGAGAAAAACUAUAAUCGUGAAGAACAGAAAGAAAAACAUGACAGAUGGGUAAAACAAAUGACAGAUGAGCAGAAACAUAUCUACGAUGAGAUCAUGGAAGCAGUGGAUAGUGAUAAAGGUGGUGUAUUCUUUGUUUAUGGUUUUGGAGGUACAGGGAAAACUUUCCUUUACAAGACCCUAUCAGCAGCUUUGAGAUCUAGAGGAUCUAUUGUGCUAAAUGUUGCUUCCAGUGGCAUUGCUUCUUUGUUGCUAGCUGGUGGUAGAACUGCACACUCAAGGUUCGGAAUUCCGAUAAACCCUCACGAAACAAGUGUAUGUACAAUGAGCGCAGGGACGGAUCAAGCACAAUUGGUGGCUGAAGCUUCUUUAAUUAUAUGGGAUGAAGCCCCAAUGAUGAGCAAACAUUGCUUUGAGUCUUUGGAUAGAAGUCUAUCUGAUAUUCUAAAAGGAGCUGGGAACAAACCAUUUGGAGGUAAAGUGGUUGUCUUUGGAGGAGAUUUCAGACAGGUCUUACCCAUUAUACCUAAUGCUGGUAGAGCUGAAAUUUGCAUGUCUGCCCUAAAUGCGUCAUAUAUAUGGGAUCAUUGUAAAGUUCUGAAGCUUACCAAAAACAUGAGGCUCCUAGCUAAUAAUUUGAGUCCAACAGAGGCAAAAGAGCUAAAGAACUUCUCAGAGUGGAUAUUGGCUGUUGGAGAUGGGAAGAUAGCUGAACCUAACGAUGGUGAAGUCAUGAUUGAUAUUCCAGAAGAGUUUUUGAUCACUGAAUCUACUGACCCUAUUGAAGCUAUAACCAGAGAAGUAUAUGGCGAUCCAAUGUGUUUGAAGGACAAAAAAAAUCCAAUCUUCUUUCAGGAGAGAGCUAUUUUAUGUCCAACAAACGAGGAUGUGGGCAUUAUUAAUGAAUAUAUGCUUGAUCAGCUAGAAGGUUAGUAUAAUCUCCUAAUCUAUUUAUAUUCAAGUUUUAAAAGAAUGGUUAAGCUAUUUAUAAAACGUUUUAUAGCUACUAUUAAUAGUUAUGUCAUUGUUUUUAUGAAGGUGAGGAAAGAACAUACCUAAGCUCCGAUUCUUUAGAUCCUUCUGAUAAAAAAUCAAAGAACAAUCCGGUUUUAACACCUGAUUUCUUAAACAGUCUAAAGGUUAAUGGGUUGCCAAAUCAUAGAAUUAGAUUGAAAGUAGGUUGUCCAGUUAUGUUGCUAAGGAAUAUCGAUCCAAGGGGAGGGCUAAUGAAUGGCACUAGGCUGCAGAUUACACAAUUAGCUGAGUUUGUUUUGGAAGCAAUCAUUAUCACAGGAGAUAGAGUUGGGGAUAAAGUCCUUAUACCUAGGGUUUUGAUCACACCUUCAGACACAAAACUACCUUUCAAGAUGCGAAGAAGACAAUUGCCUUUAGUUGUUGCUUUUGCAAUGACUAUAAACAAAAGUCAAGGACAAUCUUUGGAUUAUGUUGGAUUGUAUUUGCCUAGACCAUGUUUCUCACAUGGUCAGCUAUAUGUUGCUGUUUCAAGAGUGACUUCAAAGAAAGGGCUGAAGAUUCUGAUUGUUGAUAAAGAAGGAAGACCUCAAAAGGAAACAGUUAAUGUUGUUUUCAAGGAGGUUUUUCAAAAUUUGUAACCGGGUCUGUUGCAGUUUACCCAUCAAAUUCACAGGUAACAUUUUCCAAACAAAACUAUGUUCAGUGAAUUAAAUUUUACAACUCACUGUAUUAAUAACAUAUUCAGAAAAUCAAACUCUAACUAUAAGUAAUCUAUAUUCUUUUCGAUUACAGGUUUCCAAAAACACAACAAGAAAAACACCAGCUAAGUGCAUAUCACAGAACAACUCUUCGGAUACACAUGCCAUAUGGGAGGAGGAAUACUCAUUCAUUUUCAGAUUUCAGUUUCUGUACUCUUAAUAAUUUUCUACCUUAAAACAACCAUUUCUUUAGUUGUUCACAACGAUUUUUAAUAACAGGUUAUUGACAAUAAUUAUGGUAUUUUCACAAUGUUGAAGUUAUAACUUUUAAUAGUAUAGAUUAUGGUUAGAGGUCUAAUAAGUUAAGUGUACCCCAAUAAGGAAUCUAUAUCUAUAUAUAACUUGAACUGAAAAUUGCAGAAAAUCUCAAAUCCAGAAAAAGUAUUUACUAACCAUGAUUGUUCAGGAACUUCUCUUAUCCAUGUGCGUAUAAAUUUGAAUGUAUUGUACAAUUAAGCCAUGACCGAGUGACACCAUCAAACUGGGCAAACAUUAAA